rnacentral:rRNA from 1 species
UAGGGAAUCUUCCGCAAUGGACGCAAGUCUGACGGAGCAACGCCGCGUGAGUGAAGAAGGAUUUCGGUUCGUAAAACUCUGUUGUUAGAGAAGAACAGCGCAUAGAGUAACUGUUAUGCGUGUGACGGUAUCUAACCAGAAAGCCACGGCUAACUACGUGCCAGCAGCCGCGGUAAUACGUAGGUGGCAAGCGUUGUCCGGAUUUAUUGGGCGUAAAGCGAGCGCAGGCGGUCAAUUAAGUCUGAUGUGAAAGCCCCCGGCUCAACCGGGGAGGGUCAUUGGAAACUGGUUGACUUGAGUGCAGAAGAGGAGAGGGGAAUUCCAUGUGUAGCGGUGAAAUGCGUAGAUAUAUGGAGGAACACCAGUGGCGAAGGCGACUCUCUGGUCUGUAGCUGACGCGGAGGCUCGAAAGCGUGGGUAGCAAACAGG